rnacentral:lncRNA from 1 species
GAACGGGCCUUAGGCCAUUAAACAAAGACCGAAAUAAUAAAACAGUUCAAUGCGAAGGAGUAUUCGGUUCGAUGUUAAGAUGUUUUUGAGGGGAUUGCUUAUGUCACAUGUAAAGUACUGAGUGGUUAGAAAUAAUUGCAAGAGAAAACAUUUUUCAUUUUUCACCAUUCUCCCUCAAAACAUUUUUCAUUUUUCAUUUUUCCAUUUGGAC